CAUUGCACACGCACCACACCCCCCCGCGGGGAGGGUCCGCGCUGCCUCGAGGACCCUGUCUGUGCUGCCGGGAGAGAGAAAUCCUUUGGGAAGCUGGGCUGGAAACAGCAACUCUGUGAACUGCUCAGCUUUUCCUAGGUGACGAAGCUUAUGGAAAAAAAGACCAAAGGCCUCGAGGGAUGUUCUUCUUGACCCCCCGAGGCAAACGGAGGUGUCAGCGUCAGGAGCCAUCCUAACUGAGGCCCCGGUAGGCUCCCUCUUUCCCUUCGGUCGCCGUGGACACUGUGCCGGACGCCUCUGGCAGGACUAACCCCGGGUCUUUUAUGUCCAGUGUGCUGUGCUGCGUGUGCCUGCAGGGGAAGACUGAAGCAAGCGGUGCCAGGAAGAACUGGAGUCUCUGGAGAAUAAAAGCUGGAAGCGUGCCCCCGAAAAUCCCCAGCCCCGGGUGGUCAGUGGUCUGACUUGCACGGACCGGUGGCCUUGGCCAGGAGCGGUCCUGCGGGAAGCGCCUUUGCCCAGGCUGUAAUUUUAAUUUCCCUUGGAUGCUUGGCAAAGCCCCCCUGGGUGAGCCCCAGUGCCUGGCAGGAGCGGAGCGGGCUUGCAGGGAGGCAUUCACCUGGUCAGCGUCAGGAACCAUCCUACCUGAGGCCUCGGCUCCCUCUUUCCCUUCGGUCGCCGUGGGUGUGCCGGACGCCUCUGGCAGGACUAACCCUGUGGCUUUUAUGUCCAGCGCGCUGUGCUGUGUGUGCCUGCAGUAUCCUGUCCAAGACCAAGCUACCUUUCCUCAUGGGAAUGGACCGGCCGGGCUUUGGCAAUCUGGCCCCUCGAAAGACUAAAGUGACCUCUUCCAACAGGGGAAGACUGAAGCAAGGGGUGCCAGAAAGAACUGGAGUCUCUGGAGAAUAAAAGCUGGAAGCGUGCCCCCGAAAAUCCCCAGCCCCGGGUGGUGAGUGGUCUGACUUGCACGGACCGGUGGCCUUGGCCAGGAGCGGUCCUGUGGGAAGCGCCUUUGCCCAGGCUGUAAUUUUAAUUUCCCUUGGAUGCUUGGCAAAGCCCCCCUGGGUGAGCCCCAGUGCCUGGCAGGAGCGGAGCGGGCUUGCAGGGAGGCAUUCACCUGGUCAGCGUCAGGAACCAUCCUACCUGAGGCCUCGGCUCCCUCUUUCCCUUCGGUCGCCGUGGGUGUGCCGGACGCCUCUGGCAGGACUAACCCCGUGGCUUUUAUGUCCAGCGCGCUGUGCUGUGUGUGCCUGCAGCAUCCUGUACAAGACAAAGCUACCUUUCUUUCCUCGUGGGAAUGGACCGGCCGGGCUUUGGCAAUCUGACCCCUCGAAAGUCUUAAGUGACCUCUUCCAGCAGGGGAAGACUGAAGCAAGCGGUGCCAGGAAGAACUGGAGUCUCUGGAGAAUAAAAGCUGGAAGCGUGCCCCCGAAAAUCCCCAGCCCCGGGUGGUCAGUGGUCUGACUUGCACGGACCGGUGGCCUUGGCCAGGAGCGGUCCUGCGGGAAGCGCCUUUGCCCAGGCUGUAAUUUUAAUUUCCCUUGGAUGCUUGGCAAAGCCCCCCUGGGUGAGCCCCAGUGCCUGGCAGGAGCGGAGCGGGCUUGCAGGGAGGCAUUCACCUGGUCAGCGUCAGGAACCAUCCUACCUGAGGCCUCGGCUCCCUCUUUCCCUUCGGUCGCCGUGGGUGUGCCGGACGCCUCUGGCAGGACUAACCCUGUGGCUUUUAUGUCCAGCGCGCUGUGCUGUGUGUGCCUGCAGUAUCCUGUCCAAGACCAAGCUACCUUUCCUCGUGGGAAUGGACCGGCCGGGCUUUGGCAAUCUGGCCCCUCGAAAGACUAAAGUGACCUCUUCCAACAGGGGAAGACUGAAGCAAGGGGUGCCAGAAAGAACUGGAGUUUCUGGAGAAUAAAAGCUGGAAGCGUGCCCCCGAAAAUCCCCAGCCCCGGGUGGUGAGUGGUCUGACUUGCACGGACCGGUGGCCUUGGCCAGGAGCGGUCCUGUGGGAAGCGCCUUUGCCCAGGCUGUAAUUUUAAUUUUCCCUUGGAUGCUUGGCAAAGCCCCCCUGGGUGAGCCCCAGUGCCUGGCAGGAGCGGAGCGGGCUUGCAGGGAGGCAUUCACCUGGUCAGCGUCAGGAACCAUCCUACCUGAGGCCUCGGCUCCCUCUUUCCCUUCGGUCGCCGUGGGUGUGCCGGACGCCUCUGGCAGGACUAACCCCGGGGCUUUUAUGUCCAGCGCGCUGUGCUGUGUGUGCCUGCAGCAGGGGAAGACUGAAGCAAGCGGUGCCAGGAAGAACUGGAGUCUCUGGAGAAUAAAAGCUGGAAGCGUGCCCCCGAAAAUCCCCAGCCCCGGGUGGUCAGUGGUCUGACUUGCACGGACCGGUGGCCUUGGCCAGGAGCGGUCCUGCGGGAAGCGCCUUUGCCCAGGCUGUAAUUUUAAUUUCCCUUGGAUGCUUGGCAAAGCCCCCCUGGGUGAGCCCCAGUGCCUGGCAGGAGCGGAGCGGGCUUGCAGGGAGGCAUUCACCUGGUCAGCGUCAGGAACCAUCCUACCUGAGGCCUCGGCUCCCUCUUUCCCUUCGGUCGCCGUGGGUGUGCCGGACGCCUCUGGCAGGACUAACCCUGUGGCUUUUAUGUCCAGCGCGCUGUGCUGUGUGUGCCUGCAGUAUCCUGUCCAAGACCAAGCUACCUUUCCUCGUGGGAAUGGACCGGCCGGGCUUUGGCAAUCUGGCCCCUCGAAAGACUAAAGUGACCUCUUCCAACAGGGGAAGACUGAAGCAAGGGGUGCCAGAAAGAACUGGAGUUUCUGGAGAAUAAAAGCUGGAAGCGUGCCCCCGAAAAUCCCCAGCCCCGGGUGGUGAGUGGUCUGACUUGCACGGACCGGUGGCCUUGGCCAGGAGCGGUCCUGUGGGAAGCGCCUUUGCCCAGGCUGUAAUUUUAAUUUUCCCUUGGAUGCUUGGCAAAGCCCCCCUGGGUGAGCCCCAGUGCCUGGCAGGAGCGGAGCGGGCUUGCAGGGAGGCAUUCACCUGGUCAGCGUCAGGAACCAUCCUACCUGAGGCCUCGGCUCCCUCUUUCCCUUCGGUCGCCGUGGGUGUGCCGGACGCCUCUGGCAGGACUAACCCCGGGGCUUUUAUGUCCAGCGCGCUGUGCUGUGUUGUGCUGUGCUGUGUGUGCCUGCAGCAGGGGAAGACUGAAGCAAGGGGUGCCAGGAAGAACUGGAGUCUCUGGAGAAUAAAAGCUGGAAGCGUGCCCCCGAAAAUCCCCAGCCCCGGGUGGUGAGUGGUCUGACUUGCACGGACCGGUGGCCUUGGCCAGGAGCGGUCCUGUGGGAAGCGCCUUUGCCCAGGCUGUAAUUUUAAUUUCCCUUGGAUGCUUGGCAAAGCCCCCCUGGGUGAGCCCCAGUGCCUGGCAGGAGCGGAGCGGGCUUGCAGGGAGGCAUUCACCUGGUCAGCGUCAGGAACCAUCCUACCUGAGGCCUCGGCUUUCUCUUUCCCUUCGGUCGCCGUGGGUGUGCCGGACGCCUCUGGCAGGACUAACCCCGUGGCUUUUAUGUCCAGCGUGCUGUGCUGUGUGUGCCUGCAGGACCUGGGUGAAAAGGACAUUCUCUGAGGUGCUGGGAGAAGGAGGACUCGUGCGGGCACCUCCAGAGACAGCGGGAACGGGAGCGUGCUGCGGAGAAGGAAAAUUCCAGGGGAAUUGCCACGAGAGGAAAUACCUCAGAGGGGCUUCCCUCCAGAUAAGCCCUGAAUAUGCCAGGAGGUUUCAGCCGGGAGGAAAGGAGCUGUGGAAGAAAAGCAGCCUAAAAAUAGCCAGCGGGGAUCAUCAGGUUUUCCAGGCAAGAAGAACAAGGAGAGAGAUGAGGGAAUGGGGUUCCAAUUCCUAAUGAUUUGGUGGGUGCAGGAAUGAUUUGUGUGUGUUUUCCAGUCCCUUUUGAUUCCUGAGAUGAUUUUAAAAUGAUGGCUUUAGCAAUCAACUAAAUCGGAGCUGUUGUUUUUGAGAGGAAAUGGUGCCAAAUAAAUGCAGAGUUUUGGGUCA